rnacentral:rRNA from 1 species
UGAGGAAUAUUGGACAACGGGCGCAAGCCUGAUCCAGCAAUGCCGCGUGAGUGAAGAAGGCCUUCGGGUUGUAAAGCUCUUUUGUCAGGGAAGAAACGGUGAGAGCUAAUAUCUCUUGCUAAUGACGGUACCUGAAGAAUAAGCACCGGCUAACUACGUGCCAGCAGCCGCGGUAAUACGUAGGGUGCAAGCGUUAAUCGGAAUUACUGGGCGUAAAGCGUGCGCAGGCGGUUUUGUAAGUCUGAUGUGAAAUCCCCGGGCUCAACCUGGGAAUUGCAUUGGAGACUGCAAGGCUAGAAUCUGGCAGAGGGGGGUAGAAUUCCACGUGUAGCAGUGAAAUGCGUAGAUAUGUGGAGGAACACCGAUGGCGAAGGCAGGUUACUACUUGUGGAUUGACGCUGAUGGACGAAAGCGUGGGGAGCGAACA